UGACUGUCAGGCCACCUUAAGCCACAGUACGGAAGAAGCUGUGCUGCCUGUGAGCCCCGUCCAAGGACGUUAAAAGAAGAAGUCAGGCCCCAAAGCCACGGUUUGAGCAAACCGUGCUGCCUGUAGCUCCGUCGUGGGGACGUAAAACCUGGGAGGCUGCAAACUGUGGAAGCUGUACGCACAGUGUAGCAGACUAGUGGUUAGAGGAGACCCCUCCCAUGACACAACGCAGCAGCGGGGCCCGAGCACUGAGGGAAGCUGUACCUCCUUGCAAAGGACUAGAGGUUAGAGGA
rnacentral:lncRNA from 1 species